UUGCUUUGGCAGCACAUAUAUUAAAGUUGGAAUGAUACAGAAAUUAGCAUGGCCCAUGCGCAAGGAUGACACGCAAAUUCAUGAAUCGUUCCAUAUUUUU
rnacentral:snRNA from 1 species